rnacentral:rRNA from 1 species
UACGUAGGGGGCAAGCGUUGUCCGGAUUUAUUGGGCGUAAAGGGUGCGUAGGCGGCCAUUUAAGUCAGAUGUGAAAGAUCACGGCUCAACCGUGGUAAGCAUUUGAAACUGAAAGGCUUGAGUUAAGGAGAGGAAAGUGGAAUUCCUGGUGUAGCGGUGAAAUGCGCAGAUAUCAGGAGGAACACCGAUGGCGAAGGCAGGUUACUGGGCAGUUACUGACGCUGAGGAGCGAAAGCAUGGGUAGCGAACAGGAUUAGAUACCCUGGUAGUCCAUGCCGUAAACGGUGGGCGCUAGGUGUGAGGGUCCUUCUACGACUUUCGUGCCGUAGCUAACGCAUUAAGCGCCCCGCCUGGGGAGUACGGCCGCAAGGCUAAAACUC